UUCCACAACCCAAUUUUGUAUCCGAAGAUUAGCGGAUGAACUCUAGUGGAGGUUCAAGAUCGUGUUUGUGAGGAGGUUUCAAAGUAUCACGAAGCUACAAAGUAUAUAAAGACAUACAAUGAUCCAUGUUCGAGAUACGACUUAAAGGAUCUAUAGUAUAGAGAUAAGGCAAGAUCCAUCUCUUAUUUUAGCUGGCCAUAGUACUCGAGGAGAUUAGAGCUCAAAACCUUUAUAGUAGAUUAAUGAUUUCCAAAGAAGAUCAAUUGGUUGUUGUUCCUUAUAAUCCCGGACUUCAGUCCAAUCGCCAAUAUGUUAGGUUUGUUUUACCUCGUUUCACCUAUGCGAUUCCCCAUCCUUUUCUUCAGCACUUUUCUGUGGAUUCCUCUUUUUCGUAUGAAGCAAGCCAUUCUGGGCGUUGUGGUUACUGUUUUUGGCCGGCCCUCCUCCCCACAACAUGGAACUGACCUUGUGGUGGUCAGGUCAUACGAUGAG